rnacentral:rRNA from 1 species
UCGGGAAUUUUGGGCAAUGGGCGAAAGCCUGACCCAGCAACGCCGCGUGAAGGAUGAAGUAUUUCGGUAUGUAAACUUCGAAAGAAUAGGAAGAAUAAAUGACGGUACUAUUUAUAAGGUCCGGCUAACUACGUGCCAGCAGCCGCGGUAAUACGUAGGGACCAAGCGUUGUUCGGAUUUACUGGGCGUAAAGGGCGCGUAGGCGGCAAUUCAAGUCAUCUGUGAAAUCUCCGGGCCUAACUCGGAACAGUCAGAUGAUACUGCUUUGCUAGAGUGCAGAAGGGGCAAUCGGAAUUCUUGGUGUAGCGGUGAAAUGCGUAGAUAUCAAGAGGAACACCUGAGGUGAAGACGGGUUGCUGGGCUGACACUGACGCUGAGGCGCGAAAGCCAGGGGAGCAAACGGGAUUAGAUACCCCCGUAGUCCCUGAGCGGGCUGGCAAGGCGCAU